UACGUAGGGUGCGAGCGUUGCCCGGAAUUACUGGGCGUAAAGAGCUCGUAGGUGGUUUGUCGCGUUGUUCGUGAAAUCUCACGGCUUAACUGUGAGCGUGCGGGCGAUACGGGCAGACUGGAGUACUGCAGGGGAGACUGGAAUUCCUGGUGUAGCGGUGGAAUGCGCAGAUAUCAGGAGGAACACCGGUGGCGAAGGCGGUUCUCUGGGCAUUACCUGACGCUGAGGAGCGAAAGUGUGGGGAGCGAACAGG
rnacentral:rRNA from 1 species